UACGUAGGGCGCAAGCGUUAUCCGGAAUUAUUGGGCGUAAAGAGCUCGUAGGCGGUUUGUCGCGUCUGCCGUGAAAGUCCGGGGCUCAACCCCGGAUCUGCGGUGGGUACGGGCAGACUAGAGUGAUGUAGGGGAGACUGGAAUUCCUGGUGUAGCGGUGAAAUGCGCAGAUAUCAGGAGGAACACCGAUGGCGAAGGCAGGUCUCUGGGCAUUAACUGACGCUGAGGCGCGAAAGCGUGGGGAGCAAACAGG
rnacentral:rRNA from 1 species